UGUUACACAUAUAAAUCGUUUUCUUUAUAGCAUUUCGAUUUAGGGUCAAUCUUAAAUUUCGAAUAAAUCAAAUCCAUUUUCUAAAUUGAGUGAUAUUGAUUUUAUAUUUCAGUUACGGCUAGCUCAAACACCUGGCUUAUAGUGAUACUGGCAUCUGUGGUCGGUGUCCUAUUGAUAAUCGUGUAUGUUGGAAUAUGGUGGUGUGUAAGAAGAAACAGACAGAAUGGCAUACCAAGUACGUCAGCUUCGGAAUUACAGACUACACAAAGUAUGGAAGAUGCUGUAAAAAAUUCAACCGCAUGUAAAAACUGCUCAGAAAAUCAAGAGUCGUCUUAUUGUACAAUAAAUGACGCAGGAAACAACGAGUUGUUGCAAAAGUUGCCAGCAUCCGCCCUGGACUACAAAACACUACAGUGUAACGAGGUCGACAGUGACGGAUAUCUGAAGCUAAAAGAAAAGCGUUCAGUGUAAAACACAUGACGAAUGACAAUCAUGCCAAGGCGGGGUCCCUUUUGACUAAUGUUUAUUGUAUAGGCAUACACUAUUGUAAUUAUCUAUUGUUUGUUUACGUGAUAUAAUCAUUUGCCAAGCCAUAGUGAGAGUGUUGAAUGUUUCAAUUUUAAUUUUGACUUUUUUAAUUUUUCUUGAUUUAUUCUAUUUAAGAA